GUGCUUAACACAUGCAAGUCGAACGAACCUUCGGGUUAGUGGCGGACGGGUGAGUAACGCGUGGGAAUCUGCCCUCAGGAGGGGGAUAACGGUUGGAAACGACCGCUAAUACCCCAUAUGCCGAGAGGUGAAAUGAAUUUCGCCUGAGGAUGAGCCCGCGUCUGAUUAGCUUGUUGGUGAGGUAAUGGCUCACCAAGGCAUCGAUCAGUAGCUGGUCUGAGAGGAUGAUCAGCCACACUGGGACUGAGACACGGCCCAGACUCCUACGGGAGGCAGCAGUGGGGAAUUUUCCGCAAUGGGCGAAAGCCUGACGGAGCAACGCCGCGUGAGGGACGAAGGCCUCUGGGCUGUAAACCUCUUUUCUCAAGGAAGAAGAUAUGACGGUACUUGAGGAAUAAGCCACGGCUAAUUCCGUGCCAGCAGCCGCGGUAAUACGGGAGUGGCAAGCGUUAUCCGGAAUUAUUGGGCGUAAAGCGUCCGCAGGCGGCUUUUCAAGUCUGCUGUUAAAACGUGGAGCUUAACUCCAUCAUGGCAGUGGAAACUGAUUGGCUUGAGUAUGGUAGGGGCAGAGGGAAUUCCCGGUGUAGCGGUGAAAUGCGUAGAUAUCGGGAAGAACACCAGUGGCGAAGGCGCUCUGCUGGGCCAUUACUGACGCUCAUGGACGAAAGCCAGGGGAGCGAAAGGGAUUAGAUACCCCUGUAGUCCUGGCCGUAAACGAUGAACACUAGGUGUCGGGGGAAUCGACCCCUUCGGUGUCGUAGCUAACGCGUUAAGUGUUCCGCCUGGGGAGUAC
rnacentral:rRNA from 1 species